CCUACGGGAGGCAGCAGUGAGGAAUAUUGGUCAAUGGCCGGAAGGCUGAACCAGCCAUGCCGCGUGAAGGUCAGUGCCCUUUGGGCGUUAAACUUCUUUUGUGCGGGAGCAAUAAUGGUCACGUGUGGCCAGACGAGAGUACCGUACGAAUAAGCAUCGGCUAACUCCGUGCCAGCAGCCGCGGUAAUACGGGGGAUGCAAGCGUUAUCCGGAUUUAUUGGGUUUAAAGGGUGCGUAGGCUGGGAGGUAAGUCAGCGGGGAAAUGCCCCCGCUCAACGGGGUGAAGUGCCAUUGAUACUGGCUUGCUGGAGUGCGGAGGCCGUGGGAGGAAUGUGUGGUGUAGCGGUGAAAUGCAUAGAUAUCACACAGAACACCGAUUGCGAAGGCAUCUCACGAAUCCGCGAUUGACGCUGAUGCACGAAAGCGUGGGUAUCAAACAGGAUUAGAUACCCCAGUAGUC
rnacentral:rRNA from 1 species